ensembl:lncRNA TTC28-AS1 TTC28 antisense RNA 1
GGGCACACGAGGCCUCCACUGCGGUUGCGCAGCCUGCCGAAGAGCGUGCGGCUUCUACUGCGGCUGCGCAAGCUCGACGCGCGCACUCUUGUCUGCUUACGAGGGCUCCUCCCUUCAGCUUUGGUCCCUCGGGGCGUCUGGGCAGCCUACGCUUUCCGGUGUGGAGAUGCUUGUAUCUGGGACCCCCUGCCAUUUCUCAGGACACCCUCCUGCUCCUAGCUGGGAGAUCCAGCAUCCUCAUGAAUGCGGGGCCCAAGGCCACCAACUGUUCCACCUGCUGUCAGCCAGGCCUGUUGCCCCAGCCCUACACCCACAGCUCACCCAGCAGGGACUGGAGUGUGCUGCUGCACUGCUGGAGCCGGUCGCCCGGGUCGGAGGUUGGGAAGAAGACAGCCGCUGGCAGGCCACUGGUUGGGGGGUCCAGCCGGAAGCCCACAGCGGUGAGGAGGGCCUGCCAGCCAGGGAUGCCGCCCACUUUGUUCUCCACACUCUGCUGGGAUGUGUACAUGGCAUUGCGCUGCCCAUUCUGGAUGCGCUGCAGGGAUUUCUCCACCUGAGGGGGAAUUGGGGUAAACACUGGGAUGCCGGAGCUCAGGCAUCCCAGACAGGAGGAAGUGUGUACUCACACCAGCCAGGAGGAAACAAGCCUGCCUGGGAGGACAGACGAUCAGCCCUGGCUGUCCCUCAGGAGCGGGGGGCCUCCAAGGCACACUGCCCACUGGGUCAAGGAGUAUCCAGGAGGAGUUAGAAGCAUGACCCAUCUGCCUGGCACCAGCACCUGGGGCUGCCAGGCAGCCACCCCUGCAGCUGUGUUGACAGGACCUGGCAGAGGGACUGACCCACCUUUGGAAAAUGACACCAGCAAUAUCAGGAUGUGUCAACUGGAUUUAUGCUAAGAAAAUAGGAUUUUUGGUGUUCCUCUGUUUCCCAAAGUUUGAGACACUUUCAGACACUCUGCUUUGCGGUUGUGGCCGAUGUUACCCAUGGGUGGGACUUUUGCUUUGCUCUAGAUUUUUGUAACACCCUGGGGAGUUUCAGGGGCCAAUGCUGAGAGAAGACCACAGGCUGACACAUCAUGAGGUAUGUUGGUAAAACAGUCCCGGCUGGCCGAGAGGCCACUGAGGGAACAGGCCCAGGGUUUGGUUUGUACUCUGUGAGUCUUGGCCUGGCAGGGUUUCCUGCAAAGCAGAGUCCUCUGAGUGGGACCCCAGGGGAAGCAGGUUGUUGCCUGGAGCUGAGGGGCAGCUCUGUAUUCAGGAGGGGUGCCUGCCUUCCCAUCUCCCCUGUGACCAGAUGUCACAGAAACAUUCUCUCUUUACUCCCUAGACCCUCUGGGCAGGUCCACUAAGAGCAUGUAUUCUAGAACAUGCAGGGCUUGAAGCUUCACAAGAUAUUCAGUGCACUCCUUACAGAUCCUGUCAAAUGUGGACCGGGUGGUGUCAUCGCACCACCAUCAUCCCCUUGUUACCCCUGAGAACACAGCUUCAGAGAGGGUAAGUAACCUAUCUCAGGCCACACAGCCAGGACAUGGAGUAGAUCCAUCCUAAGUCUUUCUACCACACACUCCUUUCUACAGUCAUGGGUUAAAUGAGGGUGCCAUGGAAUGGGUCAUCCAGUGUACACUGACAUCAGGAGGAGUUUCACAUUCAUACACUCAUGGCAAAUGGUUCUGUUGCUCCCUGGUCCAAAGAUGAUCUUAAUAGUAGGAAAAACUCAUUUGGCAGAAGCAAGACUCAGCACACAGGCUCUCUCCCUGAGUCUUCUGUGGCUGGCCUUGCCCUGCCCUCCCCUCCCCAACCCCACUGGCAGAAUAAAGUCGGGGGGCUGUGAGGACUGAGCCCCAGGCCUUGACAGGCACCCGCAGCCAGCCGAACUCCCACCUGCCCAGUUGGAGGGGUGCGAGAAGGCCUUGCUGCUCUGCACCACCUUCAUGGCCUCCCCCAGGGCGGCGCUGGCUUUCAGGCCGUUCAGCAGGGAUGAGUAGAAGGCAUGGAUGAACAUCUUAGAAGCAGCCACUGGCACAGGCCACAGAGACACGAGGACACACUGAGCGCCGGCAGCCAGGAAGGCCCUUGUCAGCGCGAUGACCCCGUCGGCUGUGACUUUGCUGUUGGACUCCUGGGAGGAGCCAAGCACCACCAGCUUCACAGGCAGCUGCAGGUCCAGGACGUCGGCGGCAGUGCCUAACUUACUGAGAAUCAUGCCUGCUGUGAUGAGCCCUUGGAAACCAUCAGGACUGGAUGGUAGGGGUCCUGAGAGGAUUGGGGGAGGAGGCCUUGAUAUGACAGAGUGGACAGAGGCCGUGGAACCCAGGACAGCCAGCCUGCUCCACAAUCCUCAUCCCCACAGACCUUCAUGUGUGGCUCCUAAAUAAGAGGAAACCCACUCCUGAUAAGUCAGGGGCUUUGAAAAGUGAUUUUGUUUAAAUGGUGCAAACAAGCAAGCCAAUCUUGGGGAGACAGGGCUAAACUUAAGUCCUUUAAGAAGCUCUACAUACUGACAAGAUUCUAGUUCCCUUCCACCUUAUAUGCUGCAAAGUAAAAAGUAUCACUGAAUGAGAAAAUCAGCAUAAAGAAGCCCAAUAAUGUCUGCCUGAGUUUCCCCUAUGAUGACUUUUGGUACUUUUUGGGAAACAUUAAGUAUGAAGUUAUUUCAAAAUAAUUUUUUGGUGCCUCUGCUUGGUGAUGCCUUAAACUCUGGGUAAGAGAAACACCAGGUGCCUGUCAGGAGAUGGCCUUUUCCAGGUUUCUGGUUAAGCUACAAACAGCUAACUGGCUGCUGUCAUCAAAAUAAAAGCUUUCUGAAGGUGGAGGCAUCUGAUACCCAGAGUGCUGCUAUCAGCCGGCACGGUGGGCCGCUGGGUGGCAGGAGCGUCGAGAAGGCCAGCUCGCUUCCUAUCUGGGAUUCAGAAUCAGCUAUGGAAACUUGAGAGACCUAGAGAAAAUAACUUCUUUCACUUUGAACUGAUUCUUUGCUUCAUAAGAAAAGUAUUAUCCAGCCACAAAAAUGGUCAAAAUUCAGAUCUACAAAAGCCUGUCAGGCAGAAACUGACCCCACUUAGGCCACGCCAAUGAGCAAGUCAUCAAAGCAGCCAAGACAGGUCCUGUGGGGGCCACCCAUGCACAGGGCCCAGCCUCGGGUCCUAACCCCGCCUAUGCUUUCCGCCACCAUAAAGAGGCCCAUCUGGGUAAGACCUGUCCCGCCUGCUGUGGGGUAUUAGGGCAGAUGGGGUCUGAGGGGUCUGAGGGCUCUGAGAGCAGCUGGCAGCUCAAGGACAUCCGGAGUUGGAGGAUGGAGCAAUGCAGGCCCUUGUGGUAAAGACAGUCCUGCAGCCGCGCAGGCAGGGAUGCUGCAAGUGGAGUGCCAGGCGGGUGCGGAGCCCUGUGGGACUGUGGAGGGGUCAGAGGGAAGCCAGGAUUUUGGGGUCUCUGAGAGUUUGGAGAAGGGGAAGAAGAUUAAAGCUUGUUUCAAAAGUUUCUAAUCAGGUGGGCAGGGCCAAGGGUGGCUGUGGGGUGAGACCCAUGACUCAGGGUGGCCCACUGUUACUCUAUUGAUUUUUGGGCGUUUUUUUCCAAAUUGAUUAUUCUUGCUGAAUGAGACCUGAGUCCUUGACUGUCCCCUUAAAGCCACCUGACUUGUUUUCAGUUCCACUGGCCUGUCGGGCUGUUUUCUACUCAACUCCACUCUUGCUUGUCUGCCCUCCCUGCCUGGGGCCCAGCCAGCAGUCAGCUCAAGGGCCAGAUGAAUUGGGUGGCUGUGCUCUGCCCACUGGGCAUCGUGUGGAUGGUGGGUGACCAGCCCCCUCAGGUGCUCAGCCAGGCCUCAAGCCUUGCUGUGUACCUCAGAGCAGCUCCGUACCCUGAUGUCACAGCAAAGAAACUUAGACAUGACACAAACUGUGGCUUCCCAAGGCAGCAAAGAAUGGCCAGGGGUCAUGAGGGCCGUGCCCCACUUUUGGACAGACCUACUCUAAAGUCACGCUACCUGCGUGCAAAUCAUAAAAUCAACACUUUUGAGGAGAUCACAGCUAUGCCUUCGUAACACAGCCCAGUCCGACCAGAUAGACGGUGCCUCGUGACCCGAAAACAAGCCCCCGGCCCCCCACCAUGUGUGUGAGCCUUACCUUGGACUGCACGCUGAGGGAGCGGAUGGAAGGGACAGCAAGGAGGCCGAAGCGCUCGUAGAGGUACUCAUUGGAGGAGCUUCCCUUCAGGAGGGCGAAAGGAAUGAGGUAGAGCUCCCCCUCCAGAACCAGGAUGAGCUGCCGGUGCCGGCCCACGGGGCCGCUGGAGUGCAUCAGGCCCUAUGGAGCAAGCACGGAGAGGCUGACAUGGGUGGCCCAGCAGGCAGGGGUUUCAGGCACCAGGACAACCCUGAGCCCUAGCCUGGAUGACACAAGCACGAGCAGAACAAGGCUAAGGGCGCGGGCAUCUUAAUGAGAGCAGCAGGCAACAAUCCUGGAAGCUGGGUCCACACAGACUGCGGUGAACAAAGAGGUGGCGUGGAAGCUGCUGCUGCAGCCCAGAGCCUGCCAAGAAGGUCCCAGGUCCACAGGGCCUGCGCAACACUGGGUGCCAGGGGUGGGGCUGGCCUGCCCCCCAACCCCAUCUGCUGAGGAGUGGCUGACAAGCGGACACCCACCAGGGUGCCACUCGCUUGUGCCUGGGGAAGCAAAUGUGCUCGCUUGACCCGUCUGAUGUGCUGCCGUGGGCACUUGACUGAGAGUGGCAGAGCACUAGGCUAACCCAAAGUGACACAUGCCUGGCGGGAUGUUCAGUCUCUGUAAACCCAUAUGGUUUUUUUU